UGAGGCAGUCUUUCAAGAGAAACAACUCAGCUUUGAAUCUGUUUGAAAUGCAAUGGAAAAAUAUGCCAGUUUCAAAACAUUGAUGUCCAGGUCUCAAAGGCAAAGUUUGACGGGAAUAGUUGUCAUUUCCUUUGAUUUCUAGAUAGAAGCAAAUAGGAAAUAACACAGACCAAA